rnacentral:rRNA from 1 species
GACGGGGGAUGCAAGCGUUAUCCGGAAUGAUUGGGCGUAAAGGGUCCGCAGGUGGCCCGGUCAGUCCGCUGUCAAAGCCUGGGGCUCAACCCUGGAGAGGCGGCGGAGACCACCCGGGCUUGACGUCCGGGUAGGGCAGAGGGAAUUCCCCGGUGGAGCGGUGAAAUGCGUAGAGAGUCGGGAAGAACGCCAAGGGCGAAGGCACUCUGCUAGGCCUGAUUUCGCGACUGACACUCAGGGACGAGAGCCAGGGGAGCGAAUGGG